rnacentral:lncRNA from 13 species
CGUUAUUAUAGCCUCACGGUUGGUUGUUUUUGUUAGUUAGUUCAGUGUUUCGUUCUUUAUUAAAGAAGAAUGUACGCAUACCACGCUGCGCCUUGGUCUCCUCCUUACAACGAUCGUGACAGCUAGUGUCAUGCAAAAACUGUCACACUUAGCAUUUUCAAGCCCUAACGCCAGGUUCGGCAAUUUACCUGUGUUACAUGUUACCUGUGAUUGAGUGCAUUCGGAAAGCAUUCAGACCCCUUCACUAUUUUUCCACAUUUACAGACUUAUUCUAAAAUGUAUUACAUUUUUUAAAAUCCUCAUCAAUGUACACACUAUACCCCAUAAUGACAAAGCAAAUAAAAAGCAGAAACAUAUUAUUUACAUUAGUAUUCAGACCCUUUGCUAUGAGACUCAAUAGAGCUCAGGUGCAUCCUGUUUCCAUUGAUCGUCCUUGAGAUGUUUCUACAACUUGAUUGGAGUCCACCUGUGGUAAAUUCAAUUGAUUGGACAUAAUUUGGAAAGGCACACACCUGUCUUUGUAAGGUCCCACAGUUGACAGUGCAGAGCCACCGAGACAUGAUUGUGUCGAGACACAGAUCUGGGGAAUGGUACAAAAAGAAAUGUCUGCAGAGAGCCACCAUCACCAUAGCAACCUGUCUGCCUGUCUACAGAAGGUCCACCAUCACCAUAGCAACCUGUCUGCCUGUCUACAGAAGGUCCACCAUCACCAUAGCAACCUGUCUGCCUGUCUACAGAGGUCCACCAUCACCAUAGCAACCUGUCUGCCUGUCUACAGAGGUCCACCAUCACCAUAGCAACCUGUCUGUCUGUCUACAGAAGGUCCCCAAGAACCAGUGUCUGAUAAUGGUAAGAUACUAAGACAAUGGUAAGAUACUAUUAUGAGAAGUGCAUUGGACAUAGAACUGGUGCUCUCCUGAUACAAAGGGGAAACAUGGGAAGCAGGUCUACAAAUCCAUUACUUUGAGUAGAAAUACCCUGAUAAAAUACAAGUAAAAUAGAGACUUAUCACAUGCUGGUUAAUUUCGGCUGUGGCUAGAUUUUAUUUCCCAGCCUGAACACAACUGAAGAAGUCUUGAACUCGAAAUUCUACCAAAGUAUUUGCUAUUAAAUUUGAAGGUUUUGUAAACCUAUCAGAUGCUUAAUAAUUUGAAUCAACUUAAACCUCAUCAGACUCGUCACUCUCUACCGCAAUCACCCACUUUACAAGGUGCAUGAGGUCUGAAGCCUCCCGCUCCUGGUGCCACAGAAUCACAGAUUUUAUCGGAUCAUACUCAUCGGAUCAUACAAUGCAGGUCCCGUGUUGAGCAUGCGUAAUACGUUCUCCGUGAUGGAGACUACGUGUCCCCGCCCGUCGUGAAACGACAGACGAGAACCUCGUAUUUAAAAGUUAGCUGUAACCCAUAACAACAGCUUUUGCGCUAAAUGUACCAUUGUCAGGUUUGUUUAAAUGAUCAAGGCACAAGGCGAGAACCAGAAGCAGACACAGGAGGCAGAUGGUUGGAGUCUUACAAUGUUUAGGAAGCUAUUAAUCCAAAGGGGUAGGUAAGAGAAUGGUCGUGGACAGGCAAAAAGGUCAAAACCAGUACAUAGACCAGGAGGUACAGAGUGGCAGACAGGCUCAUGGUCAAGGCAGGCAGAAUGGUCAGGCAGGCAGGUACAAAGUCCAGAAACAGGCAAGGGUCAAAAACCAGGAGGACUAGAAAGGGAGAAAAUGCAAAGCAGGAAAAAGGGAAAAACUGCUGGUUGACUUGGAAACAUACAAGACAAUCUAGCACAGAGAGACAGGAAACACAGGGAUAAAUACACUGGUACAGAGAAACAGGAAACACAGGGAUAAAUACACUGGUACAGAGAGACAGGAAACACAGGGAUAAAUACACUGGUACAGAGAGACGGGAAACACAGGGAUAAAUACACUGGUACAGAGAGACAGGAAACACAGGGAUAAAUACACUGGUACAGAGAGACAGGAAACACAGGGAUAAAUACACUGGUACAGAGAGACAGGAAACACAGGGAUAAAUACACUGGUACAGAGAGACAGGAAACACAGGGAUAAAUACACUG